rnacentral:rRNA from 1 species
CGAUAUAGUCAAUGCUGCAGAGUGCACUAGCUAACUGAAAUCACAAAAACACAAAUGGUGCUUAUUGUGAUAACGUAAGGGAAAAAAAUGAUAUCACCUUACUAAUAGUGUUGUCUAAAUAACUGGUGCCAGAAGACUCGGUAACACCAGAAACGCGAACGUUAGUCGUCUUAAACAGGCGUAAAGGGUAAGUAGGCUGCUUUAAACGUCUUUUUUUAAAAAAGCUAAUUAAUAAUUUAACCUAAAAUUUUUAAGACCUUAAUUUAUAAUUUAAGGCUAACUAAUAAUGAAAAAAGGUAAUUAUUAGUUUUUCUAAUAAUUAUAAUUAUUAAAUUAAAAAAAUAGAUACACUUAAAGCUAGAAUCAUAAUUGAGAUAAACCAAAUAAUACUUAUGUGUAAGGGCGAUAUCUGAAAAUACUAAGUAGAAUACUAACGGUGAAAACUUUUUAUCUAGUAAUGAUUGACGCUGAGGUACGAAAGUGAGAACAGGGAAUAGGAUUAGAUACCCAGUUACCUCUCACCGUCAACGAUGAAUGGUAGUUGUUAGUUUAAUUAAAUUAGUGACGAUGUUAACGCGAUAACCAUUCCGCCUUGAGAGUACGGUUGCAAAACUGAAACCAAAAAAAUUAGUCGGUUCUCGGAGCAAACGGAGUGAAGCAU